GUUGUAUGGUUAAGUGACUAAGCGUACACGGUGGAUGCCUGGGCAGUCAGAGGCGAUGAAGGACGUACUAACUUGCGAUAAGCGCAGAUAAGGCAGUAAGAGCCGUUUGAGUCUGCGAUUUCCGAAUGGGGAAACCCAACUGCAUAAGCAGUUACUGUUAACUGAAUACAUAGGUUAACAGAGCAAACCGGGGGAACUGAAACAUCUAAGUACCCCGAGGAGAAGAAAUCAACCGAGAUUCCGGUAGUAGCGGCGAGCGAACCUGGAUUAGCCCUUAAGCACUCGGUGAAGUAGGUGAACAAGCUGGAAAGCUUGGCGAUACAGGGUGAUAGCCCCGUAACCGACGCUUCAUCGAGCGUGAAAUCGAGUAGGGCGGGACACGUGAUAUCCUGUCUGAAUAUGGGGGGACCAUCCUCCAAGGCUAAAUACUCCUGACUGACCGAUAGUGAACCAGUACCGUGAGGGAAAGGCGAAAAGAACCCCUGUGAGGGGAGUGAAAUAGAACCUGAAACCGUGUACGUACAAGCAGUAGGAGCACCUUCGUGGUGUGACUGCGUACCUUUUGUAUAAUGGGUCAGCGACUUAUAUUCAGUGGCAAGGUUAACCGUAUAGGGGAGCCGUAGCGAAAGCGAGUCUUAACUGGGCGCUCAGUCUCUGGAUAUAGACCCGAAACCGGGUGAUCUAGCCAUGGGCAGGUUGAAGGUUGAGUAACAUCAACUGGAGGACCGAACCGACUAAUGUUGAAAAAUUAGCGGAUGACUUGUGGCUAGGGGUGAAAGGCCAAUCAAACUCGGAGAUAGCUGGUUCUCCCCGAAAGCUAUUUAGGUAGCGCCUCGGACGAAUACUACUGGGGGUAGAGCACUGUUAAGGCUAGGGGGUCAUCCCGACUUACCAACCCUUUGCAAACUCCGAAUACCAGUAAGUACUAUCCGGGAGACACACGGCGGGUGCUAACGUCCGUCGUGGAGAGGGAAACAACCCAGACCGCCAGCUAAGGUCCCAAAGUAUUGCUAAGUGGGAAACGAUGUGGGAAGGCUCAGACAGCUAGGAUGUUGGCUUAGAAGCAGCCAUCAUUUAAAGAAAGCGUAAUAGCUCACUAGUCGAGUCGGCCUGCGCGGAAGAUGUAACGGGGCUAAGCAAUACACCGAAGCUGCGGCAAUAUCUUUUAGAUAUUGGGUAGGGGAGCGUUCUGUAAGCCGUUGAAGGUGAAUCGUAAGGUUUGCUGGAGGUAUCAGAAGUGCGAAUGCUGACAUGAGUAACGACAAAGGGGGUGAAAAACCUCCUCGCCGGAAGACCAAGGGUUCCUGUCCAACGUUAAUCGGGGCAGGGUGAGUCGACCCCUAAGGUGAGGCCGAAAGGCGUAAUCGAUGGGAAACGGGUUAAUAUUCCCGUACUUCUGACUAUUGCGAUGGGGGGACGGAGAAGGCUAGGUGGGCCAGGCGACGGUUGUCCUGGUUCAAGUGCGUAGGCUUGAGAGUUAGGUAAAUCCGGCUCUCUCUAAGGCUGAGACACGACGUCGAGCUACUACGGUAGUGAAGUCAUUGAUGCCAUGCUUCCAGGAAAAGCCUCUAAGCUUCAGAUAGUCAGGAAUCGUACCCCAAACCGACACAGGUGGUCGGGUAGAGAAUACCAAGGCGCUUGAGAGAACUCGGGUGAAGGAACUAGGCAAAAUGGUACCGUAACUUCGGGAGAAGGUACGCUCUUGAUGGUGAAGUCCCUCGCGGAUGGAGCUGACGAGAGUCGCAGAUACCAGGUGGCUGCAACUGUUUAUUAAAAACACAGCACUGUGCAAAAUCGCAAGAUGACGUAUACGGUGUGACGCCUGCCCGGUGCCGGAAGGUUAAUUGAUGGGGUUAGCGCAAGCGAAGCUCUUGAUCGAAGCCCCGGUAAACGGCGGCCGUAACUAUAACGGUCCUAAGGUAGCGAAAUUCCUUGUCGGGUAAGUUCCGACCUGCACGAAUGGCGUAAUGAUGGCCACGCUGUCUCCACCCGAGACUCAGUGAAAUUGAAAUCGCUGUGAAGAUGCAGUGUACCCGCGGCUAGACGGAAAGACCCCGUGAACCUUUACUACAGCUUGGCACUGAACAUUGAACCUACAUGUGUAGGAUAGGUGGGAGGCU
rnacentral:rRNA from 1 species